rnacentral:tRNA from 1 species
GUGGCAAUAGCUCAGUGGUAGAGCCCCUGCUUCGCAUGUGGGGAGACCUGGGUUCGAUUCCCGGCUGCUUACC